rnacentral:lncRNA from 1 species
UAUCCAACACCCAGAACGGCGUCUUCCAUGAAUUCAACCCUCAAAAUUUUAAUAAUCAACAGAUCAGUAAUCUGCCUAACGAUCCGUUCAUGGUGGAUCCUCGAUUUUACCCUCAGGACCACCAGAUAGUUGGCCCGCAGAGGCCUACCUCCAGCGGCAUGAGCAGCACCGUCGAGUCGUUUAGUGGACCCAGGCAGCUGGCACCUCCGCAACUUAUUCAGCCGCAAAGGAGAUAUCCCAGGUCGCCGCCGAUGUCUCCUGACGACUGUCACAGCGACUGUGAUUCCUCCUCCUCCGUUGUGGAUGAUGGUGAAUGCGACGUCGCCGCCUCCUUAUGUAAAAAGCCUUUACCUUUCGACCUCAACUUCCCGCCGCCAAUGGACGCUUAUGGUGUAGACUCUGACGUGUGCGACCUAGCUUGCACGGCCCUCCGACUUUGAUGUUGUGUCCUGAUGACGACCAAAUCAUUUGGAAAACUCAUCUAGUUAAAUUACUUAUUUCUUUUCCUUUUUUUAAUUUUUUGUUUUUAUUUUGCGGAGGAAAACCCUAAAAAAAUGAAAAAAAAAAAUGCUCAUAGCUAGGGUAAAGCCUUUGGUGAGAUAAAAACUAAGGUGGGUUGGAGGUCAGGCUGCUAUGGGUAUCCUGUUGUUUGAAGAGGAUUUACUUGAAUUAGAUUUAUAAAAUUGAUGUUAUGGAAAAUAGAGGAUAUUAUGAUGGAUGGAUAUUCAGUGUCCCUUUGUGAUAUUAUUGUCUUUCGAUGAUUGCGUGUCAUCGACUGUCCUAUUGACUUCUUUGGAAUGUAUAUGAAAUCUGUUGUCGAAGACUUGUGUAUUGUUUUAUUUACUUUUAAAACUAGAUGUAAGAACGUCUACUAUCUAUUUGUUAUGUGUCGUUUCUGGAUUUUUUUCUUGCUGAUUUAUGAAAUCCAUUUUCGGAUCUUUUAAUGUAAAAAUGGAAGUCUCAUCUCAUUCAAUGCUACAAGAACGACUACUUAUGCUGCACUUGUGCGAUAAAUUUUGUUCCAUGUUAUGUUCAUUUCAUUUGUUUCAUAUGGUUUGCCAUUCUUUUGGAUGAUUUGAGCUGCAAGUUGUUUGCUAGCUUUAUAUACAUCUCAUGUGAUUAACAUGUUGGUCAUUAGCUAUCCGGAUGGACUGGUGUAACUUUAGUUUUUCUUGCAGGCUUGUUUGAAUUGUUGUCCUGUCUGCAUUUUUAGUUUGGUAUGGCUCAGUAGUAAGAUUUGAUGUACUGGCUUAUCUGAGCUUUUACUACUUAGGUUUGCUACUAUCUAUUGAUUCUGAUAUGCUUGAAGGUAUCAUGAGUUAUGAAAGCAAUCUUCUUAGCUUUUUGUCAAGUUCAAGUUUUUGCCUUUGUGCUUUUGUGCUUAACAAUAACCCUAUCUCUUCCUCGAGGUGUAGGGAGCUUUAUGCUAUCUCUUUUUUGUUUUUACAUGGUUCAUGCCCAAGACUUGUGCAUGAGGUUUCCUCUUUGUUUAAAAUCACUGCAUUCAAGUUUAACGUGUUUGAUGACUUUCGGGUAACAGUUUCUUAUGGUUAGAUUUCUAUAAUGAUUAGAUAUGUGUGGAUAAAUUCAUUUCCUGUACAUUUAUACUGGCAGAUCAAUAUGGUUAGAUCUUAUGGAUGAUUGGUCAUUAAUAUGCCGUUACUGGUUUACAACCUGCAUUGUCCAUGUCGCGACAAAAUAGAAGCAGAUUGGAAUUUAAUACCGUUUACUUAAAAGUAGCUAUUCAUCAGAAUAUCUCCUAAGCCUCCUUUUAAGAUGCUAAAUUGACUGCAAUAUUGAUCGAUUAAUACCUUUUUAGCAUGUUUGUUAGUGUUCUCAGUCAUUUUAUCGUGUUUAUUUCUUUUCAUGCUACGUUAUACAGUCAUUUGUAUGCAAGUUCUUUACACAUUCACUACCUCAAUUCUUUAUUGCAAAUUCUUUUUUUAGUCGUUCCCUUCUUAAUUGUUUGAACCGGCCUAUCCUUCUGCACAGCAGAAAUUUGUUUCUUCGAAUUUUCAUUAGGAUAAGCAAAGUGCAUUGUAAAAUUGUAAGUUAGCAAAUCCAUUUUUUUGUUCCUCGUGAGGAUCAGUGUUCUAUCUGUUCUGCUCUGUUCAUUUGGUAGGUUAUGAUGUGUUCAUUCUUACAUCAUUGGGUGCAUGUAUUUAUCAUGGCAUUGACAGCACCAUUAUAAUGAAAGCAGAUUCUCAGGUUUCAAUGUAAACCGCGCGAUCACUGUGAAUUUUUGUUUGGUUCAUAGCAUUGAUCACUUGUUAUGAAUUUUCUGUUUGUUGUAGCAUGAUUUCUUGUUGAUGCGACCUGUGCUUCUGGUCGAUAACCCGAACUUAUCCAUUUUUGUUCAUUCUGAACAAUGUGAAAAUAUAGUAGUUCUUGAUUUUAACCCUAGAACACACCUUGGUUUUAUGUUUGACCACUUGGAAAGUGUAUAUUGUCGUGCUUGGGUAAAUGGGUAGUGCAAAGCACAAACAUGUAGGUUGUAGCUUUUAAGACUAUGCCUGGCCAACCACUUUCACUCUUUUUCUAACCGGCCAAAUAUAUUAGCCCUACCGGUCACGCGUCUUUCGUUCAAAAUUUGAACGCUAUUAAUAUUGAAUGGUACUAGUAUAUUCGUUCAUAUUUACCAACCAAUAAUUAUAUUCUAUCAUCUUUUCAAUCAUUUUUCUUAAAAAAUUCAAAUUUUAAUUUCAAUCAUACAUUUAAAAUUAUUGUUCAUUAUUAUCUACACAAUAUGUGCCCGAGACAUCUAACACCUCUCAUGAAUUAUUUUAAUUUUUGAACUCAAAUAAAUAGUAACUACAUAAAGGUAUAUUUCCCAAGCGAGGACAUAUCACUCAACACCACCACGCAAAUUACAGUAUUUGAUGCCUUCAAUUUUGAUAGCGCUGAGUCCUAUCCGCUCUCCCCUUUGCCACUGGGAGAUAUGCCUGGGGGCCUCUCCACCCAUUUCUCUUUACACGCACAGUAGAGAGAGAAAAAAUUAUCGCAAUCUGGUCUUUCUCCCUGAUUUUGUUUGGUUUUUUGUACAUAUUUAUUUAUUCUCUCUCUAAUCUAUUUCUAAAGCCUUUUCUUGUGAGAGAAAGAUUUGUUUGUUUUCCUUCUCGGAAAUUAUAUUUUUGCUGCUGUAUCGAUCGAAUCUGACAAUGAGGCGAGGCAGAGGAGCGACGGCGGCGGCAAGGCAAAUGGCGGCGAACGGCAGAGAGGCCAACGGAUCUGGAGGAUCUAAGGAGAUCAAAUUUCGGGGAGUGAGAAAGAGACCAUGGGGAAAAUUUGCUGCAGAGAUCAGAAACCCUUGGAAGAAGACUCGGGUGUGGCUAGGUACGUUUGAUUCUGCUGAAGACGCGGCUAGGGCCUACGACGCUGCUGCUCUAUCUCUCCGGGGCCACAAGGCUAAGACGAACUUUCCGUUAUCCAACACCCAGAACGGCGUCUUCCAUGAAUUCAACCCUCAAAAUUUUAAUAAUCAACAGAUCAGUAAUCUGCCUAACGAUCCGUUCAUGGUGGAUCCUCGAUUUUACCCUCAGGACCACCAGAUAGUUGGCCCGCAGAGGCCUACCUCCAGCGGCAUGAGCAGCACCGUCGAGUCGUUUAGUGGACCCAGGCAGCUGGCACCUCCGCAACUUAUUCAGCCGCAAAGGAGAUAUCCCAGGUCGCCGCCGAUGUCUCCUGACGACUGUCACAGCGACUGUGAUUCCUCCUCCUCCGUUGUGGAUGAUGGUGAAUGCGACGUCGCCGCCUCCUUAUGUAAAAAGCCUUUAC